rnacentral:rRNA from 1 species
UACAGAGGGUGCAAGCGUUAAUCGGAAUUACUGGGCGUAAAGCGCGCGUAGGUGGUUCGUUAAGUUGGAUGUGAAAUCCCCGGGCUCAACCUGGGAACUGCAUUCAAAACUGUCGAGCUAGAGUAUGGUAGAGGGUGGUGGAAUUUCCUGUGUAGCGGUGAAAUGCGUAGAUAUAGGAAGGAACACCAGUGGCGAAGGCGACCACCUGGACUGAUACUGACACUGAGGUGCGAAAGCGUGGGGAGCGAACAGG